GUCAAUAUGGUGUUGCAGCUUAUAGUUAAACCUCGUACUUUACACGAGGUUAGGAUCAGGGUAUCACUUAGAUUCUACAGGGAGUUCAAGACGCGGGAGAAGAGUAAAAAGAACGAAACAACCCUGCUUGUGUUGUUUUCCGAAAAAUUCGAAGUUACGUUCCGAAGCAAUUCCGAGCCUCAGAAGGAGGAAGAACGAAGAUAGCGGUCCAGUAAUGCUUCAGUAUGUGAUGGCGACGACGACGGCGUUUGAGCGGGAUCGUUACAACGGCUACACGCCGGCACAUCUGGAUACGCAAAUUUCUUCCAUGAAAUGAAAAACACUUCAAUUUUGUAAAUUAAUUUAACUGGGUUCCACCGUUCGAUAAACUAAAUCGUGUAUUGAACCUUUCUACUUUAGCGAGUGAGGCAACUUCUACGCGAAACGAAAGCGUACGAAAAAAACAAGACAGCAUCGAAGUGUCGGUGUCCUUGCUCUUGGUAACUUCCGGAGCUGAACCUUAUUGGCCGUAACUUUACAAUAGCUUUACAUAGCGAACCAUAACGGAA